rnacentral:rRNA from 1 species
GCAGCAGGGUCGGUUCGGGCCAGUCGUAUGUAAGCACAGAGAGCUUGCUCUCGGGUGACGAGCGGCGGACGGGUGAGUAAUGUCUGGGAAACUGCCUGAUGGAGGGGGAUAACUACUGGAAACGGUAGCUAAUACCGCAUAAUGUCGCAAGACCAAAGUGGGGGACCUUCGGGCCUCAUGCCAUCAGAUGUGCCCAGAUGGGAUUAGCUAGUAGGUGGGGUAACGGCUCACCUAGGCGACGAUCCCUAGCUGGUCUGAGAGGAUGACCAGCCACACUGGAACUGAGACACGGUCCAGACUCCUACGGGAGGCAGCAGUGGGGAAUAUUGCACAAUGGGCGCAAGCCUGAUGCAGCCAUGCCGCGUGUGUGAAGAAGGCCUUCGGGUUGUAAAGCACUUUCAGCGGGGAGGAAGGCGGUGAGGUUAAUAACCUCAUCGAUUGACGUUACCCGCAGAAGAAGCACCGGCUAACUCCGUGCCAGCAGCCGCGGUAAUACGGAGGGUGCAGGCGUUAAUCGGAAUUACUGGGCGUAAAGCGCACGCAGGCGGUCUGUCAAGUCGGAUGUGAAAUCCCCGGGCUCAACCUGGGAACUGCAUUCGAAACUGGCAGGCUAGAGUCUUGUAGAGGGGGGUAGAAUUCCAGGUGUAGCGGUGAAAUGCGUAGAGAUCUGGAGGAAUACCGGUGGCGAAGGCGCCCCCCUGGACAAAGACUGACGCUCAGGUGCGAAAGCGUGGGGAGCAAACAGGAUUAGAUACCCUGGUAGUCCACGCCGUAAACGAUGUCGAUUUGGAGUUGGUGCCUUUGAGGCGUGCCUUCCGGAGCUAACGCGUUAAAUCGACGGCCUGGGGGGUACGGCCGCAAGGUUAAAACUCAAAUGAAUUGACGGCGUCUGCCAAAAGCGGGGGAGGCAUGUGGUUUAAUUCGAUGCAUCGCGAGGAUCUUUAGCUUGGCUUGACACUCCCAGGACUUUCAAGAAAAUGAAUGGUGCUUCCGGGAACUGGAAAAAAGGUGCUGCCUGGCUUUCGUCAGCUCACCUGGUGAAAUGUUGUGGUUAGUUCCGGACAGAGCGCGGACUUUAUCCUUUGUUGCCAGAGGGCUAGGCGUGGAUUCAAAGGAGACUCUCAGCAGUAAACUUGAGGAAGGUGGGUAGGCUCUAAGGCCAUCAUAGGCCUAACGGACACGGUUACUCGCGUGCUUCUAUUGCUUAUACCAAGAGAAGCGACCUUCUGGAAUCGGGA